rnacentral:rRNA from 1 species
CGGACGGGUGAGUAACACGUAGGUAACCUGCCCAAUCGUGGGGGAUACCCAGCCGAAAGGUUGGCUAAUACCGCAUACGCUCGUUGGUUGAAAUACCGAUGAGGAAAGAUUUAUCGCGAAUGGAGGGGCCUGGGUCCGAUUAGCUAGUUGGUGAGGUAAUGGCUCACCAAGGCGACGAUCGGUAGCUGGUCUGAGAGGACGAUCAGCCACACUGGAACUGAGACACGGUCCAG